UGUGAAGGGACAUAUUUACCUCUUUCCUGUACGGGGGAAUUUUAGACGAAAAUUGCUAUAACAAAUAAGACAAUCAAAAUAAGCAAAAUGGUUAAAAAGAAUAACAAUAAUUAACAUAUUAAGACUUUCGAAUUUUGUAAGUUAAGCCCCCUAAUUACUAUUUUGUUUUACAAGAGCACAAAAUUAAAUCUGCUUUUGGACCUCUAAACCAGAGUUAAGGUGAUAAGUCCCCAGUGGAGUCGCCAAGCAGUCGCAAGGGUUUUUCG
rnacentral:misc_RNA from 1 species